rnacentral:sRNA from 1 species
UUAAAAAAAAAAGACUUAUAAAAAAAGCACUGUGAUUCCGAAGAAAAAAUAUUAAAACCAAGAAGAAAAUGUCAGGCGAGCUGACAAGAUCCCGGACUCACUAUUUAAGAAGAGAAAAAGAGAUUCAUUCUUAUGUGCAUUGAUCGUUUUUUAACUCUGAGCUUCAACUCCUACUGGAAGCAAUCAUUGUUGUAGCAGAUAAAUUUGGAGCAACCCAAAAAAUUCUUUAGUUCAACAACCAACAAAGUUUAGUAGAUGUCAGUUUCAAAAUGUUGGCAUAUAUGAUGAUUUUUCAAACGGAAAUAUUAUGACUGAGAAUCUAAAUGCAACAAUAGGUAUUCUUGAAGAAAAAAAAGUUGACAUUGCAUGAUUCAUAUGCCACUAAGACCUUAAAAAAUAACCCUAAAUCAUUGAACAAAGCCUUCAACCGUUUCCCACUAUCUGCUGAUCUAUGGCGACAUGUGAAAAGGAUUUUAAAAUUAAAAUUCAGAACUUUUUGAGACAAAGGAACAAAUGGGGAAUUAAAAAAAACUAUCGUUAAAGACAUUAACUUUCAUCAUUUAAAUGAUAAGUUUUCAGGUGCGCUAUUGAACGUCAUUUAUUUAUUAAACUCUUUAAUGAUUAGGGACUACAUGUGGAAAAAAAAUAAAUGUUAUGAUAUGUCUGUUGGAAGAUUGUCAACACCAAAUUGAAUUGAAGAUCAUAACACUUUAAAACAUUAUAACGGUCAAUUUAGAGUUUUCUAAGUGUGGCCGAUUAGUUUGUAAUUCUUUUCCCAAAGAUAUACACCAGCUGUUAAAUUUCUAGGAAAAUCGUAGUCAUUUUUGAGAUCCGUGUCGUUUUUUCCAUCCAGUUCCCAUGAAUUUGAAAAAUGAAUAGACGAAUUUUAAAAAAUAUGGAAGUCUAUUUUAUUUUAUUAAACAUCUGUACGUUACGUUUUAUAUAUAGAAUGCGGCCUUUUAUGAACAUAGCGAAUUAAGAAUUCAAAGGCUUAAUAGAAAGCUUUGUGUCAAACUAAAAUGUAACAUUCCCAUUGAACUAUCAGUGAACUAACGUUCGGUGUGGGUGGUGUAUUGCAUAGUUGAUCCAGCACUGCAUUGGAUUCUAAAGUACAAUAGAACUUGUAUCUCUCUUUGAAUGUUCAGUUCUGUUUAAUACAAACAUUUCAUUUCUUUGCAGGAUAGUUCCUUGUUAUUAUUUCAUAUUAAUGAUCUACACAAACUUAGGACCUAGUCUAACUGCUGGGUCAGAGUUCAGAAGUGGAUUAAAACCUAAUACACAAUGUUCCGACCAUUGGUGGGCUAAUGUUUUAUUUAUUAGCAACUUUUACAUGUCUGACAAAAUGUGUAUGCCUUGGACUUAUUACCUGGUCAAUGACUUCCAAUUCGCUUUGCUUUCUCCUUUGGUGGUCAUUCCAAUGUUAUGUUCUCCACUCAUUGGUUUCGGUAUUGUGGUGUUAUUAAUGGCCGUUCAUAUUGUAUCAGUUAUGGUUCUCAAUGUUGGAAUUAAUGGCAGCGUCAUGAGGUGAGAAUUUGGGAAUUUCUUGAACUACUUGUUAAUUGAAUAGUUCUUUUAAAAAAAUUCAGUGUUUCAUCAAUAUCAAAAGUAAUGAGGUAUGGACAAAGGAUAAUUACAAAUCAAGCACUAUAGAAAGGAUAACAAUGCGGCAAAGUAACAGUACCUAUGAACUAAACAUCCACUUGGUUUAUCAUGGAAUAAUACAAUGAUAGUGAUCACAUUUUUACCUUCAGAAAGGAGAACAUAAUACACAUUAAUACUCUUAACCAUUUCUAGAAAACGCACAGUAAUCCUAAUGAUCAGCUGCUAUGGCACGAUUAAGAAUUUGGCGCGAAAAGUUAUUUGUUUCAAAACAAGGGAAAGGUUUGACUUAGAGACUGUCACGUGACUAUGAAAACAUGACUAGGAUUUAGAAGACAGCUCUAGAGUAAGGUCGGCUUGAGUUUCUGAAGUAGAUAUUGAAAUAAUACGGCAUUCGACGGUUCCCUUCAUUGAAUAUUACACUUCUUGUUCGACAUCGUUUAUCAGCGUCCACUACCUUUAUAUUGUUGACCUUUCACCUGUGUUACUUCGUUAUUUGAGUGUUACCUCUCUUAAGACUUAUAACACAAGACAUAGCGCGGAGGCGCCUAAGAAAGCCUAAAUCUCUCGCCUCAAAUAGCCCAAAGAUAUUAGAAAGAAUUGAUAAGAAUAUCUUUGAACGACUAGCUUCCAAUGUUCCAGUGGAAAAAAAAGAAUUGGCAAAGAAAGAUGGAGGGCGACUUUUAUUUUGUCCAGAUAUACGCGGGUGGAAGAGCGAUUUCCAAAUAGCCCGAUCGUGAAAGUAUUUCUGAGUGGUUCAAAACCUAAAGCAAGUAAUAGUAUAUUCAGUUUUCGUAUUUUUUCGCCCAUGGAAAGUGGGAGAAUUAACGAGGGGUGAGUGAAUGAAUCAGGGCGCGCUUACAGCAUAGAUUGUUUAGGGAAAAGUUUGUAUUCCAAACUGUGUGACAAUAAAAGUCAGUUUUGCUAACUAAACAUAAGAACGUGUUUGUGCUCCAAACGAAAGAGGUUAGUCAAUUUUGCUAAAAAAAAUGUGCAGAAAGAUUAUCAUAAACUUUCUCUUA